rnacentral:rRNA from 1 species
GACGAACGCUGGCGGCGUGCCUAAUACAUGCAAGUGAACGCUGAAGGAGGAGCUUGCUUCUCCGGAUGAGUUGCGAACGGGUGAGUAACGCGUAGGUAACCUGCCUGGUAGCGGGGGAUAACUAUUGGAAACGAUAGCUAAUACCGCAUAAUAGCAGUUAUUGCAUGAUAACUGUUUGAAAGGUGCAAUUGCACCACUACCAGAUGGACCUGCGUUGUAUUAGCUAGUUGGUGGGGUAACGGCUCACCAAGGCGACGAUACAUAGCCGACCUGAGAGGGUGAUCGGCCACACUGGGACUGAGACACGGCCCAGACUCCUACGGGAGGCAGCAGUAGGGAAUCUUCGGCAAUGGACGGAAGUCUGACCGAGCAACGCCGCGUGAGUGAAGAAGGUUUUCGGAUCGUAAAGCUCUGUUGUAAGAGAAGAACGAGUGUGAGAGUGG